rnacentral:tRNA from 1 species
GCGGGUAUAGCUCAGUGGUAGAGCACAUGCUUAGCAUGCACGAGGUCCUGGGUUCAGUCCCCAGUAGCUCCA